ensembl:snRNA U5 U5 spliceosomal RNA
GCACUUUUGUUUCUCUUCAGAUCGUAUAAAUCUUUCGCCUUUUACUAAAGAUUUCCGUGGGGAGGAACAACAAGAGUUUGAUUCAAUUUUUUGAUGCCCUGCAUUAGUAGGGCU